AGAAGAAAAAAUAUAUGAGACCAGCCGCAUACGUCGUUCGACAAUGCUUCGAUGCGAUGCAUUGCAUUAUUUGUUUUGCGUGCUACAGUGAGUCUGCUAUUUUACUUAAAGUGUCACUAAAGUUUAAUUUUACAAGAUAGUUGAAAUUGCAGUAAAUGCGUGUAUUAUUCGAUGUAAAUGUAGUGGGGUAUAAUGAAUCAUAGGGUCGCACCACAAUCAUCAAUUUUAAUCAGUUACUUAUAGGUAUACCGUAUAAUAUUGAAUUAAAUAAAUGAAGCGUCGGGUGUAGAGCCUGACUCGCACAUAUUCAAUCACGAAAUUAUAAUAAGAAAAUUCAUAAUAAUAAGUAGAUAAUGUCAGCUGAUGCGAAGCAUUUUGCCUGCAUUUUGUAUAUACAUUACAGAUAUUUUGUUCAAUAAUUACUUCUUUCGAACAUGCUGUUCACGAGAAUACUCAAAGUCUUUCUACUGCUUUGGCUGAUGACAGCGUCUUUUUCCGCAGCAGACGAAAGGAUUAAGAAAACUGACAGAAGAGGCAAACGAUUUCGAGAAGAUUUGCAUUAGAAAACAAAAUUGAAGAUGUCACAUUCGAAUUUUUUUUGUUUUUUGCUAUUCGCCUCGACCAGACUUCACCCAAGGCAAUGGACAACUAAUAAAUAUUUAUUAUUGAAAGCAUUCUUUCACAUGCCAUUGCGUGUAAUCAAACAGAAAAUUUAUUUGCAAAAUAAACACCUUCUUCGCUACCAGACCAUGCUUGCUGAUUAUCAUUUGAGAAGUAAGCAGAAAUAACAAUGCCUAAUAGGUUAAAUAUCUAUGCUUAGAUAUAUUUGUAGAUAAUACAAACACAUUUAUUACACACUGCGGGCUUCAAAACAGUAUUUCAUAUUAUCUUGAUCAACUUGACAUUGAACUUUAAUAUGCCGACAUGCUUUUAAGAUAAUAGGCUGAAUGAACUUUUAUAACAUGUUCAUAUUAAACCUGAACUAUCGUGUCAAUGUAAGUGGAUUUUGCCUAAUAAAAUACUGUUGCAGACUUGU